UACGUAGGGUGCAAGCGUUAUCCGGAAUUAUUGGGCGUAAGGGCUCGUAGGCGGUUUGUCGCGUCGGGAGUGAAAACUCAGGGCUUAACCCUGAGCCUGCUUCCGAUACGGGCAGACUAGAGGUAUGCAGGGGAGAACGGAAUUCCUGGUGUAGCGGUGAAAUGCGCAGAUAUCAGGAGGAACACCGGUGGCGAAGGCGGGUCUCUGGGCAAUAACUGACGCUGAGGAGCGAAAGCGUGGGGAGCGAACAGG
rnacentral:rRNA from 1 species